AAUCAACGCUGGCGGCGUGCCUAACACAUGCAAGUCGAACGCGAAAGCCCCGCAAGGGUAAGUAGAGUGGCGCACGGGUGAGUAACACGUGGAUAACCUGCCUUUGAGUGGGGAAUAACCUUCCGAAAGGAGGGCUAAUACCGCAUAACACCUUUAGACAAAAGUCAAAGGGUUAAAAGGAAGCAAUUCGCUCAAAGAGGGGUCCGCGCCUGAUUAGCUAGUUGGUGAGGUAACGGCUCACCAAGGCUUCGAUCAGUAGCCGUCCUGAGAGGGAGCACGGCCACACUGGAACUGAGACACGGUCCAGACUCCUACGGGAGGCAGCAGUGGGGAAUUUUUGGCAAUGGGCGAAAGUCUGACGCAGCAACGCCGCGUGA
rnacentral:rRNA from 1 species